UACAGAGGUCCCAAGCGUUGUUCGGAUUCACUGGGCGUAAAGGGUGUGUAGGUGGCGCGCUAAGUCGGGGUGUGAAAUUUCGGAGCUUAACUCCGAAACUGCAUUCGAUACUGCCGUGCUUGAGGACUGGAGAGGAGACUGGAAUUUACGGUGUAGCGGUGAAAUGCGUAGAUAUCGUAAGGAAGACCAGUGGCGAAGGCGGGUCUCUGGACAGUUCCUGACGCUGAGGCACGAAGGUCAGGGGAGCAAACGGG
rnacentral:rRNA from 1 species